UACGUAGGGGGCAAGCGUUGUCCGGAAUCAUUGGGCGUAAAGAGCGCGUAGGCGGUCCGGUAAGUCCGCUCUGAAAGUCCGGGGCUCAACCCCGGGAGGCGGGCGGAUACUGUCGGGCUAGAGUCCGGAAGAGGCGAGUGGAAUUCCUGGUGUAGCGGUGAAAUGCGCAGAUAUCAGGAUGAACACCAAUGGCGAAGGCAGCUCGCUGGGACGGUACUGACGCUGAGGAGCGAAAGCGUGGGGAGCGAACAGG
rnacentral:rRNA from 1 species